rnacentral:rRNA from 1 species
CCAGCCGUAAAACUUGAUAGUUAAACCACAAACUAUUCGCCAGAGAACUACCAGCAAAAAGCUCAAAACUCAAAGGACUUGACAGCGUCCCAAAUCAACCUAGAGGAGCCUGUCCUAUAAUCGAUGACCCACGCUUCACCCAACCUGCCCUCGCACCAACAGCCUAUAUACCGCCGUCCCCAGCCCACCUAAUGAUAGACAACCAGUGGACAAAAUAGCCAACACUAGUACGUCAGGUCAAGGCGUAGCUAAUGGGCAGGCAGAGAUGGGCUACAUUUUCUAACCACCAGAAAAAACCCAACCGGACCAUGAAACCUGGCCGCAACAAGGCGGAUUUAGCAGUAAGCCCGGCAAGAACAAGCCAGCCUGAAGCCCCGCUCUGGGACGU